AUUUUGGAUGCUUAUGAAAUUGUCUUGAGCUUUUUAGUUUUAUGGUUUUUUCAAGAAUUUUGUACUAUCAUUUGCAUCUUUUCUCAGUUUAUCACCAUCAUUUUCAUCCUUUUCCACAUUAUUGCAUUCUUUUAACCUUCAUGGUUAGCAAAGAAGAGAUGGGAUUCCACAGAACAUUCUAAAAUGGUGUCUUCCAACUUUUUGUGUAGAAUAAUAUAUGAUACAUAACAUUCUACAGUAUUUAUUUUAAAUCUAAUUUUCUUCCGGAGGUAAAUAAGUUAAAAAAACUGCACUUGUUUAAUGACAUAGAAGCAUUUUAAGGUAAAAGUAAAACCACUCUGAUUUGAAUGAUUAUGCUGUAUUAUCCAUUGAAAGACUUGGUGUGGUGUUGUGAUUGUCUUAUCUUCCUCAGGUAUUAUAUAAAAGAUUUUGUACAGAGGUUUAGAGUAAUUAAAAAUACAUUUUGCAAUCAAAUAGUGGGAUGAGAAGUAUAAUGAUCAUGCUAUGAUAGGGCAGAUGGUGUUUAUUGGUUUUUAGGGAAGAAUGCGCUGCAAGAAAGUGUAUGAAGAGAUUCAUAUAUAUGUUCAAAUUUUAAGAUAAGCCCAAGAUUAUACAUCAAGAGUAGAGUAGCAAGAGGAAUGAAGAGAUUUAACAGAUUAUUGCAAGUGAGGACAAAUAUGCUUUUGGACAUGUCUCGUGAGAGGAAGAGUGUUUUAAGUUCUGAUUCUAUGAUUUUAUAGAAGACAGGGACAAUGAGGAGGAAACAAGGCACCUGUGUUAUUGCAAUUUCAAAGGUGUCAAAUGCAUAUGGACCAAGCAACAGAGUUGGGCUUCUUCUAUGAUUUCCGAAAGGAUUUCUUUAGUUGAUUGUGAUGCUUAAUUCAACUGCGUAAGUAUAUCUUUCCCAAGGUACAACUUAAGUAUUCUCUAUGCUAUGGGGCAACCUUUUAAUUGUUUAAUUUUGCUAGGAAGGUCAUUCAUAUUUUCAUGUGUGGGUUGUGUGUAUGUGAGACAAUGACAAGUAUUCAUUUUUCUUUGGGAUGUAGUUAUCCAGAAAGAUAUUUUAUUUUGGUCUGCAAAUUGUUGAAUAGCAAUUGCUAUCAUAUAUUUUGGCUUUGUUAAACUUGGAACCCAUUACUACAUUUCAAUCAAGUUCCCCUUCCUCUCUUCUAAGAUUUUGAUAAGCUUCUUUGCUAGCAAAUAAGUUCUGAAUCGUAUUGCAAUUUGUAUAUGAGAUAAAUUAUUACAUAUUCAUUUGACUUCUUAAAUAUCAGAUAUUCUUACUUCUUAUAUCUACACAGGCAGAGCUAGAAAGAGUUGCUAAAAUCACUCUCAAAUGUUAAUGGAGCUUAUGAAUUGAUGCUUUUGCACUACAUUGCACAUGGGAUUCUAAUUUGCUUAUUCAUUUAUUAGGUGGUCAAGUUCUUGGUAGAACAUAAUAGUAGUAAUAUACUUUAUGGUCAAGUUACUAUUGGAACACUCAUCUUACAUGUAUUUUUCUGUCCCGUCUUUCCAACUAUGGACCAUUUAUACUCCGAAAUAGCAUUUAAUUUGUUGA